rnacentral:rRNA from 1 species
GACAUAGGUGGCAAACGUUAUCCGGAUUCACUGGGUUUAAAGGGUGCGUAGGUGGGCUAGUAAGUCCGUGGUGAAAUCUCCAAGCUUAACUUGGAAACUGCCGUGGAUACUAUUAGUCUUGAAUAUUGUGGAGGUAAGCGGAAUAUGUCAUGUAGCGGUGAAAUGCUUAGAUAUGACAUAGAACACCGAUAGCGAAGGCAGCUUGCUACACAAUCAUUGACACUGAGGCACGAAAGCGUGGGGAUCAAACAGG